GCCUUCGCUAUUAGUGAGCCCCCUCUUGCGCGGGCCUUCAUAUAGUCAUUGUUAGUGGAGACCAUCGAAGGGACCUUCGUUGGUGCGGGUCUGGCGAAGUUCUCUAACGCGUGGAACACUGCACUUAAACAUGGGUUACUUUCGGCCUACGCAGGGCUGAUCAAGGUCGGGUUCGGCCUUCGCUCCAAUAAUCACCGCACUCCAAUCGCCAUCGAGCCAUAUAGAUGCUGAUUGCCAAGAGUAACAAGCACUAGACUUUUACUUGGCUAAGAUAAGCCUAAUGUGGGUGGUGGAUGCACACAAAUCUCUCUUUAGGCACUAAUGAGGUUGCUAAUAACAAGAUCCACAAUUCUCUAAUCUCCUCACGGUGCUAAGCGUCUUCGUUUCUCUCAAAAGGUUGCUUUAGCUAUUGAAAGGGGCAAGACAUCUUAAGAAGCAAUGGACACAUCCGGUGUUACUGCAAACUGUGCAAGGCAUGCUUUAUCUAUUUUUUGUGUUUCCUUCCAAAUUUUGUGUGGGCUAUCUUGGAUUAUCA
rnacentral:lncRNA from 7 species